rnacentral:rRNA from 1 species
CUACGGGGGGCUGCAGUGAGGAAUAUUGCACAAUGGGGGGAACCCUGAUGCAGCAACGCCGCGUGGAGGAUGACGCAUUUCGGUGUGUAAACUCCUUUUAUAUGUCAAGAAAAUGACGGUAGCAUAUGAAUAAGCACCGGCUAACUCCGUGCCAGCAGCCGCGGUAAUACGGAGGGUGCAAGCGUUACUCGGAAUCACUGGGCGUAAAGGACGCGUAGGCGGGUUGGAAAGUCGGGUGUGAAAUCCUACAGCUUAACUGUUGAACGGCACUUGAAACUUCUAAGCUAGAGUAUGGGAGGGGGAGAUGGAAUUAGUGGUGUAGGGGUAAAAUCCGUAGAUAUCACUAGGAAUACCUAAAGCGAAGGCGAUCUCCUGGAACAUUACUGACGCUAAGGCGUGAAAGCGUGGGGAGCAAACAGGAUUAGAUACCCUAGUAGUC